CAGCCUUCUGGAAAGACAAAACCAGCAUCAUUUGUCUCACCUCUCCUCGGAGUGCCGAAGCUUCCCUUUCCUCAUUAGGAACAUUCCUUUUACCUCAAAGAGCUAUUGUGAAGAAUGAAAAGCAGAAAUAGCUGGGAAGCACUUCACGCCAGCCAAGGAAAUAGAUGGGGGUCUCUGUCUGUCGUCCAGGCUGGAGAGCAGUGGUGUGAUCAUAAUUCAUGAAGCUUUGAACUCCUGGGCUCAAGUGAUCCUCCCACCUCCGCUUCCCGAGUAGCUGGAACCACAGCACCUGGCUCUUUAACGAAUAAACACUCCUUGGUUUGUUGUUUGCCUUUGGUUAAAUUCCAAAGCACUGAAAUGGUUGUUUCUGGCUUUCAUUCAGAUUUACAGCCAUGUGAUACCUUCUGACAUGCUAUGAUACAACAAGAAGACCCUCACCAGAUGUGGCCCCCUUGAUCUUGGACUUCCCAGCCUCCAGAACUAAAUGCAUACCUGAAUUUAAUCGUGAGGAAACGUCAGAGACGCCAGAAUUGAGGAAUGUUCAACAAAUAACUGGUACUCUUCAAAAGUGUCAAGGUCAUGAAAGACAAAGGAAGACUCAAGAACUAGCCCAGAUUGAAGGAGACAUGAUGACUAGGAUGACAUGUGAUCCUGGAGCAGAAAAAGGACAUUAGUGGGGCAAUUGGUAAAAUUUGA